UUCUUCAAUGUCCCUUUGUCUGUUU
rnacentral:piRNA from 1 species